rnacentral:rRNA from 1 species
CGCGCAGGUGGUCUGGUAAGUCAGGUGUGAAAUCCCGGGGCUCAACCUCGGAAGCGCAUUUGAUACUGCCCGACUUGAGUACUGGAGAGGAGAGUGGAAUUCCCGGUGUAGAGGUGAAAUUCGUAGAUAUCGGGAGGAACACCAGUGGCGAAGGCGACUCUCUGGACAGAUACUGACACUGAGGCGCGAAAGCGUGGGAAGCAAACA